rnacentral:rRNA from 1 species
GAUGAACGCUGGCGGCGUGCCUAAUACAUGCAAGUCGAGCGAACAGACGAGGAGCUUGCUCCUUUGACGUUAGCGGCGGACGGGUGAGUAACACGUAGGUAACCUACCUAUAAGACUGGGAUAACUUCGGGAAACCGGAGCUAAUACCGGAUAAUAUUUCGAACCGCAUGGUUCGAUAGUGAAAGAUGGCUUUGCUAUCACUUAUAGAUGGACCUGCGCCGUAUUAGCUAGUUGGUAAGGUAACGGCUUACCAAGGCAACGAUACGUAGCCGACCUGAGAGGGUGAUCGGCCACACUGGAACUGAGACACGGUCCAGACUCCUACGGGUGGCAGCAGUAGGGAAUCUUCCGCAAUGGGCGAAAGCCUGACGGAGCAACGCCGCGUGAGUGAUGAAGGUCUUCGGAUCGUAAAACUCUGUUAUUAGGGAAGAACAAAAGUGUAAGUAACUGUGCACGUCUUGACGGUACCUAAUCAGAAAGCCACGGCUAACUACGUG